GUGGGGAAUUUUGGACAAUGGGCGAAAGCCUGAUCCAGCCAUGCCGCGUGUGUGAAGAAGGUCUUCGGAUUGUAAAGCACUUUAAGUUGGGAGGAAGGGCAGUAAGUUAAUACCUUGCUGUUUUGACGUUACCGACAGAAUAAGCACCGGCUAACUUCGUGCCAGCAGCCGCGGUAAUACGAAGGGUGCAAGCGUUAAUCGUAAUUACUGGGCGUAAAGCGCGCGUAGGUGGUUUUGUAAGUUGGAGGUGAAAUCCCCGGGCUCAACCUGGGAACUGCCUCCAAAAGUGCAUUACUAGAGUACGGUAGAGGGUAGUGGAAUUUCCUGUGUAGCGGUGAAAUGCGUAGAUAUAGGAAGGAACACCAGUGGCGAAGGCGACUACCUGGACUGAUACUGACACUGAGGUGCGAAAGCGUGGGGAGCAAACAGGAUUAGAAACCCGGGUAGUCC
rnacentral:rRNA from 1 species